GUGGGGAAUAUUGGGCAAUGGGCGAAAGCCUGACCCAGCAACGCCGCGUGAAGGAAGAAGGUCUUCGGAUCGUAAACUUCUAUCCUUGGUGAAGAUAAUGACGGUAGCCGAGAAGGAAGCCCCGGCUAACUACGUGCCAGCAGCCGCGGUAAUACGUAGGGGGCAAGCGUUGUCCGGCAUGAUUGGGCGUAAAGGGCGCGUAGGCGGCCUGGUAAGUCUGGAGUGAAAGUCCUGCUUUUAAGGUGGGAAUUGCUUUGGAUACUGUCGGGCUUGAGUGCAGGAGAGGUAAGUGGAAUUCCCGGUGUAGCGGUGAAAUGCGUAGAGAUCGGGAGGAACACCAGUGGCGAAGGCGACUUACUGGACUGUAACUGACGCUGAGGCGCGAAAGUGUGGGGAGCAAACAGGAUUAGAAACCCUGGUAGUCC
rnacentral:rRNA from 1 species